rnacentral:lncRNA from 1 species
CUUCUUUUGUUAUAAAAGGUGUUCUAAAUGACCUCCCUUAACGUCUACACAAGCCUGGAAACGAGUUUCGAAAGACCUAAUGAUGUUUGUAAGGAUUUGUUGUGUGACACUUUGAAAGGCGUUUUGAAUCCUUAUUUUCAUAUCGUCAACUAUUGUUGGAGGUGUCCUAUACACUACGUCUUUAAUAUAACCCCA